UUGAAAGUACCCUGCCAAAAAGAAUUGAACUAUGAAAUUAAAAUCUUAUCGAUUAAACUCUAGUUGGUAGGUUUGCUUUAUGUAUAUUUGUAUGUCUUUGGUGGUGACCUGUCCGCCAAGUGGAAUAUGACUUUAACGUGAGAUUUCAAAGGCACCUAUGUAAUCACUCCUACCUGCUAGCCACUCUUUAGCGGCAGUCUUAACUAUGUGCCUCUUGCUGCCUCUAAAUAGGUUUCCUUGUGAAAUGAUUUUAAAUUAACUUUUAAACACCAGGUUCCGUGUUCCACUGCUAAGGCUACAGCAUGUAUUUAUAAAAACAUUUCUGCUCACU
rnacentral:lncRNA from 1 species